rnacentral:rRNA from 1 species
CCUAGUUGAUCCUAGUAGUAGUCAUAUGCUUGUCUCAAAGAUUAAGCCAUGCAUGUGUAAGCAUGAACUAAUUUAGAUUAUGAAAUUGCAAAUGGAUUAUUAUAUCAGUUAUAGUUUGUUUAAUGGUAUCUAUUACUUAGAUAACUGUAGCAAUUCUAGAGCUAAUAUAUGCAACAAACAGUGAUUUAUGGAAGGGAUGCAUUUAUUAGAUAAAAAGUCGAUGCGAGCUAUGCCCAUUACUCUGAUGAUUCUUGAUAACUUGAUAGAUUGCAUGGCCUUUGUGUCAAUGAUGCAUCAUUCAAAUUUCUACCCUAUCAAUUUUUUAUGGUAGGAUAGUGACCUACUAUGGUGGUGUUGGGUGAUAGAGAAUUAGGGUUUGAUUUCGGAUAAAAGUGCUGAGAAAUAGCUACUGCAUCUAAGGAGGCAAUAGGCAUGCAAAUUAUUUAAUCCUAACACAAGGAGGUAGUGACAACAAAUAACAAUACCAAGCUAUAUGAGUUAGGCAAUUGGAAUGAGCACAAUCUAAACCCUUAAUGAGGAUCCAUUAGAAGGUAAGUCUAGUGCCAGUAGUCACGGUAAUUCUAACUCUAAUAGCAUAUAUUUAAGUUGUUGUUGUUAAAAAGCUCAUAGCUAGAACUAGAGUUAGGUUGUCUGGUCUGCCUCAUAGUGACCACUAGUCAACUUAUCCCUAUUACCGACGAUGUGCUUCAGGCCUUAACUGGCCAUGUCAUUCUUUUAGCAUUAUUACUUUAAAGAUAUUAGAGUGCUCUAAGCAGGCCUACAAUUGUAUACAUUAGCAUGGGAUAACAUCAUAGGAUUUCAGUCAUAUUAUGUUGGUCUUUGAGAUCAGAGUAAUGAUCAAAAGGGAUAGUCAAGGGCAUUCAUAUUUCAUAGUUAAAGGUGAAAUUCUUAGAUUAAUGAAAGAUGACCAGCUAUAAAAGCAUCUGCUAAAGAUGUUUUCAUUAAUCAAGAAUGAAAGUUAGGGGCUUAAAGAUGAUUAGUUAUUAUCCUAGUCUUAACCAUAAAUGAUGUUGACUAGGGAUCGAUGAAUGUUACUUUUAGGACUUCACUAGCACCUUAUGAGAAAUCAAAGUCUAUGGUUCUAAGGGGAGUAAAGUCAUAAGGCUGAAAGUUAAAGGGUUUGAUGGAAAGGCAUCACUAGUAAUGGAAAUUGUGGCUUAAUUUGACUCAACAUGGAGAAACUUAAUAGGUCUAGACAUACUAAAGAUUGAUAGAAUGAAAGCUCUUUCUUGAUUCUAUGGGUGGUGGUGCACGGUCAUUCUUAGUUGGUGGAGCGAUUUAACUGGUUAAAUCCAUUAACGAAUAAGACCUCAACCUGCUAAGUGGCUAUGCAGAGGUGAUCCUUCAUGGCUAGCUUCUUAGAGGGACUAUGACUACUUAGGCCAAGAAAGCUUGAGUUAAUAACAAGUUUGUAAUGCCCUUAGAUGUUUUGGGCCACACACGCUACACUGAUGUAUUCAAUGAGUCUAUAGCUUGGGCUAAUAGGCUUGGGUAAUCUUUGAAAUUUUAUCAUGAUAGGGAUAGAUCAUUACAAUUAUUGGUCUUCAACAAGGAAUUCCUAGUAAGCGUGAGUCAUUAGCUUGCGGUAACUAUGUUCUUGCCCAUUGUACACACCACCCAUCACUUCUAUUGAUUGAAUGGUCUAAUGAAGUGUUCAAAUCAUGGUGAUGUGAAUGGUUCAUUACCCACAAUAUCACGAGAAGUCCACUGAACGUUAUCAUUCAAAGGAAAAAUAAUUCAUAACAAGGUUUCCAUAGGUGAACAUACAAAAU